AGAAUGAACGCUAGCGAUAUGCUUAACACAUGCAAGUUGAACGUUGUUUUCGAAUCAGAAUGAGAACAAAGUAGCGAACGGGUGCGUAACACGUGGGAAUCUGCCAAACAGUUUGGGCCAAAUCCCGAAUGAAUAAAAGCUAAAAAGCGCUGUUUGAUGAGCCCACGUAGUAUUAGGUAGUUGGUUAGGUAAAAGCUGACCAAGCCUACGAUGCUUAGCUGGUCUUUUCGGAUGAUCAGCCACACUGGGACUGAGACACGGCCCAGACUCCUACGGGAGGCAGCAGUGGGGAAUCUUGGACAAUGGGCGAAAGCCUGAUCCGGCAAUAUGGCGUGAGUGAAGAAGGGCAACGCAGCUUGUAAAGCUCUUUCAUCGAGUGUGCGAUUGUGACAAGACUCGAAUAAGAAGCCCCGGCUAACCUCCGCGCCAGCAGCCGC
rnacentral:rRNA from 1 species